GACGAACGCUGGCGGCGUGCUUAACACAUGCGAGUCGAACGGAAAGGCCCUGCUUUUGUGGGGUGCUCGAGUGGCGAACGGGUGAGUAACACGUGAGUAACCUGCCCUUGACUUUGGGAUAACUUCAGGAAACUGGGGCUAAUACCGGAUAGGAGCUCCUGCUGCAUGGUGGGGGUUGGAAAGUUUCGGCGGUUGGGGAUGGACUCGCGGCUUAUCAGCUUGUUGGUGGGGUAGUGGCUUACCAAGGCUUUGACGGGUAGCCGGCCUGAGAGGGUGACCGGCCACAUUGGGACUGAGAUACGGCCCAGACUCCUACGGGAGGCAGCAGUGGGGAAUAUUGCACAAUGGGCGGAAGCCUGAUGCAGCAACGCCGCGUGCGGGAUGACGGCCUUCGGGUUGUAAACCGCUUUCGCCUGUGACGAAGCGUGAGUGACGGUAAUGGGUAAAGAAGCACCGGCUAACUACGU
rnacentral:rRNA from 1 species